CAGUCGCCGCGGUAAAACGGAGGGUGCAAGCGUUAAUCGGAAUUACUGGGCGUAAAGCGCACGCAGGCGGUUUGUUAAGUCAGAUGUGAAAUCCCCGAGCUUAACUUGGGAACUGCAUUUGAAACUGGCAAGCUAGAGUCUUGUAGAGGGGGGUAGAAUUCCAGGUGUAGCGGUGAAAUGCGUAGAGAUCUGGAGGAAUACCGGUGGCGAAGGCGGCCCCCUGGACAAAGACUGACGCUCAGGUGCGAAAGCGUGGGGAGCAAACAGGAUUAGAUACCCGAGUAGUCCCUGUCUCUUAUAA
rnacentral:rRNA from 1 species